rnacentral:rRNA from 1 species
UACAGGUGUUGCAUGGCUGUCGUCAGCUCGUGUCGUGAGAUGUUCGGUUAAGUCCGCUAACGAGCGCAACCCUCGUCGUAUGUUAUAUGUGUCAUACGAGACUGCCGGUAAAAAGCCGGAGGAAGGUGAGGAUGAUGUCAAGUCAGCAUGACCUUUAUAUCCAGGGCUACACACACGCUACAAUGGUCUGUACAAUGGGUAGCCAAGCCGCGAGGCGGAGCCAAUCCUGAAAGCAGGCCUCAGUUCAGAUUGCAGUCUGCAACUCGACUGCAUGAAGCCGGAGUUGCUAGUAACCGCAGGUCAGCAAUACUGCGGUGAAUACGUUCCCGGGUCUU